AAAAGAAACAAGCUAGAGCAUCAAAGACUCAAUGAUCUUGUAUAUGAUCACUACAACUUGCGUUUACAAAACAGGUAUGGGACAAAAAGAUCAUAUGAUCCCGUUGAUUAUGAGUCAAUUGAUAAAACUGAGUUUUGGAUUGUGGAAGAAGAAGGAGAAGGAGAACUUGAUUUUUCUGAAUUAGAAGAUAAACUUCUUGAAGAAUAUCCUAAAGAUGGCGAAGAACUCAAUCAUGGUGAUGCAGAUUAGAGUGAUAAAGACUUGGAG